CAAUAGCGUAUAUUAAUGUUGUUGCAGUUAAAAAGCUCGUAGUUGGAUUUCGGGUGGGACGCAGCGGUCUCGCAUUGCGUUUGUACUGCUGCAGCCCUCCUUCUUGCCGGGGGCGGCCUCUCGGACUUCACUGUCUGGGGGUCAGAAUCGGCGAUGUUACUUUGAGUAAAUUAGAGUGUUCAAAGCAAGCUUACGCUCUGAAUAUAAUAGCAUGGGAUAACACGACAGGACUCUGGCCUAUCGUGUUGGUCUAUAGGACCAGAGUAAUGAUUAAGAGGGACAGUCGGGGGCAUUCGUAUUCCGUUGUCAGAGGUGAAAUUCUUGGAUUUACGGAAGACGAACAUCUGCGAAAGCAUUUGCCAAGGAUGUUUUCAUUGA
rnacentral:rRNA from 1 species